rnacentral:tRNA from 1 species
GGGGAGGUGCCAGAGUGGACGAUUGGGGCUGCCUGCUAAGCAGUUGCACCGCUAAUAGUGGUGCCGCAGGUUCGAAUCCUGUCCUCCCCG